GAGCUGUAGCUUAGUGGUAGCACAUCUGCUCUACGUGCAGAUGGUCCCAGGUUCAAUCCCUGGGAGGGGAUUCA